AAAGGCACUUCCUUCCGCUGGGUGAAUUUUGUGUCCUUUGCCAACUCAUGACCGUUGCACCACAGAUGAGAGAUCUGGGUGGUCAGGUCAGCGUUCAUUGAGCACCUGCUGCAUGCCUGGCUUUGGGAAAGGCUGAGCGGCCCUCAGAGAGGUUUGUGGGCAUUAGCAGUCAGUCAGGACGAGGGCUCCACUUUGCUGAGGGCGGGCUGAACUGCAAUGCCAGGGUGACACCCCCAGAGUUCACAGCAGCUCCCACUGGGGGAUAACCAGAGCCCCCCUGCCCCAGUCACUAAGCUGGGGUUUUGAGUUAUUCUCAGAGCUGACCUUCCUCUGAACUGCGGCCGCUGUCUGUAAAGGCCAAGGGGCGGGGUGAGGCAGGAGGUGUGACUGCAGGCCUGAAAAGGAGAGCUGGAGGGCAGCAGAGAAGAGGCGCCAGGCCUGGGUGGGGCCUUGCCAGGCAGCUUGUAAAGCAAACCUUGCUGGCAUGGCAGAGCUGCAAGCCACUCUGGCAACAGAUGUCACAUGGACUCAUCUCUGCUAGAGCCACAGCUGGUGCCCAGCACUGAGUAGGAGCUUUCCUUGCCGCUGGCCUCUGAGUGCAGCAUAGUGUGCGAAGGGCUCUGGCUUUGGAAUGCAGGGAAGGCUUAGGGUGCAGGGUACAGUUUUGGGUGUUGUGAAUAUACAGGGCAUAGCUCUAACACAUGACUGUGGCAGGGGCACCAAAGAGGGCACUGUCUUGGCGUUCCCAUGGGGGCUGCUUCCAGGCCCUUAGACUGGAAGCUCUUCCUUGGUGGAAGAUACCCACAGAUGUAACCUCCAGAAGUCUUGGAGUCUGGGACAGAAUUAAGCCCUAAUGCCUAAGGGAUCUCUUGUGUGUAAUGAGGUAACUUCUUUCUAGAAUGGGACUAGUUAUGUACCAUCCUUGGAAGAAUUGAGAAGUCACUCAAAUCAUUUUUUGCGUCCUGUGGCUCAGAUGAGGAACCCCGGUUGAGAGAGCUUCUAACAAAUGUUGCAUGCCUGAUAAAGGAGGCAGGUACCUCCCACCUCCUCCCUGGGACCUGGAGCCUGAGCAGGUGGCCGUCAGGGACAUGUGGCUGCUCCUGCUUGCCAGGGAGCCCCACAGAGCAGAGCUGGGCCCCAGUGUGGGCUCUCAUUGCCUGCAACAGCCAAGCGUGCAGAGAUGAGUUGGACUGUGGUUUAGGGAGAGGCUUGGGUCUCCUGGGUAAGGCCUGGAAUGAUAGUUGUGCACCUGAACAUGGGGGUACGACUGGUGGUGGGCACAGUUGAGGCCUCCUGGGCCAGGCCCAACAUACUGUGUACCACAGUGGCUUGAGGAGAGACCUGCCUGGUCACUAAAAGUAUAUAUUGCUGAAUCGAGAAGUGACAUCUGAGGAGCCAGGGACAGGGGCAGAUGAGAUUUCUGGAGCUAGGGUGUCAGGUGAGAUACAGGGGUCAGAACAGAUGUAGGGAUACUGCGCUGGCUCCGAGGUAAGAUCAGAAGAGUCCAGUCUGACAGAGGUAGGUACAUGCGGUGAGGCCUGGUCAGCUGGGGUCAGUCUUGGGGCAGCCUCCCGCGCUGGGAUUGGCAGAGGUAUGGUGGGAACUGAGGUGUUUCAGAGUCAGGCUCAGCCGGAGUCGGCACACAGUUGAGAGUAAUUGGGCUGGUGAGGUCUGAAGAGGGACCAGGACAGGUACAGGAGAGUUCUGGGGAGCCAAGACAAGUAGAGGUGCAGAUGAGGUCUCUGAAUUCUCGAAGGGGCACAGUAUUUAAAUAUGAUUCUGUUACCUGAGGUCUGAGGAUCCAGUCACGUACAGGUACUUAACCUGGGUCUGGGAGUUGAGGUUUAGAUCUGGAGCAUGGAGCAGCUGUAGGCACUGGAGAGUGAGCCUCAGGAAGUGGGUGGCUGAGCAUUGACGAGGCAUUAGACUCAGGGUUAGGCAGGCCCGGGUACUUCCCCUGAGCCAUCCCGACCAGGUGUGAUGGUCGGAGCUCAGGGUGUUGCCGAGGUCUCCCAGGAUCCAUAACCAGCCCAAGGCGUGGUCUGUGACAUUGUGCAGUGGCUGAGGUGGGGUUUGAGGAGCCCAGGGGUCAGGCAGGUUAUAAAAGCUGAAGACUGGGUAGUGAGGUCUGGGCAGGUGAAGAACAGACAGGUGGGCUAAGGAGCUCCAUGGGUAAGGUGUGGUCCGGGGCUCCUGGUAGACGAGAUGGCCAAGGCCCAGGCCGCUCAGACACUUGCUCCAGUGGGCUCUCGCCAGGCUUCCCGCGGGCUGAGGUAAGCAGCCAGGAGUGUGUCAGGUCCGAGGGGAGUGUCUGUAGUGGCGUCUGCCGAGGGUGCUCUGUGGAGCCACGUCUGUCUGAAGUCUCAGGAGCUGGAAUGAGACAAGGUGGGUGUAGUAAGUUUCUUAGGGAGGCCUGAGCAGCCAAGAUCAGGCACAUGUAGGUUGAGUUAGAUUGGUCAGGUAGGAACACUGGAGCCGAAGAUCGGCAGAGGCAGAGUCGGAUCUAACAGGUGAGGGCUGGAAGCCCUUGACCAGGUCCAGGUCAGAACUCUGUCCUCAGCUGGGGUCUGAGCAGUUCUGGUGACACGGAGGGUGAUGGUCACAGAGACACCGUAAGUACCCUGGGGAAAGAUUGAAAAGCUGGAGUUCGGCAAAGGGAUGGACAUCUGUAUCCACCUGGAAGGUUUAUGAAUUCUGGCCCCAGCUCAGGUAUGUAGGGCAGGUCUCUCAGGUGGGGCUGGAGGGGUUGAGGUAAGAUACAGUUUUGUACUUUGGAGUCUCAAACAGGUAAGGUCUGAGCUGCUGAGGUCAGGCCCUGGUUUGUAUUCUGAAUCUGAAGAGCUGGGGUCAGGCACAGGUGGGUAGAGCUCAGUUUUUCAGGUAACAUCUAUGCAAUCAGGGCAAGCAGAGGUAGGCUGACCUGGAAAGCCACAGUUAGGUCAUGCGGCUCUGGUCGCGGUUCAGCUCAGGCCCCGGUGGGUAGGGCAGAUCUGUCAAGUAAAGCCUGAGGAGCCAGCAUUAGGCUCAUCUGGAAAGAACUGGGUCUCUUACAUGAUCUCUGAAGAUACGAAGUAAAGGCAGGUGGAGAGAAUUAGCUCUCUCAGGUGAGAUUUGAGGAGCCAGGGUUGGGUACAAGUGACUAGAUAUAGAUCUGUCAGGUAAGGUCAAGAUAGGAAGGUAGAACCGCAUCUCCACCUAUCUUUUAGAGAGAUCUGUGGGACUGAGGAGUGGCCAGGCACAGGUAUGUGGAAUUCGUUUCUCAGGUAAAGUCUAUGGAAUCUAGCACAGGUUGAAUGUAGGCAGGUCACGUUGGCUUUUUCAGAUGUUGGAUUCAGGCAAAGGUACAGACUUACAGACAGGUGGUAGAGCAGGGUUUGUUGGGUAAGAUCUAUGGAGCCAGAUCUGGGCAGGUUCAUAAUAGCAGGCCCAGUGAAAUGUAAGUCACAGUCAAGCCCAGGUGAGAACUGAAUGUCUUAGAUGAAAUGUGAGCAUCUGAGAUGAGGUUCAGGUAGGCAGAGCUAGCCCAGGUACAGUUCAGGAGCUAGGAAUAAAUCCAGGUAGGUAGAACUGGCCUGCAGGUGUGGUCUGAGGAGCCAAGGUCAAGCACAGGUGGGUAAUACUAGCUCACCAUGUGAGAUCUGAGAAACAAAGUCACACCUAGGUAGGCACAGCUGGUCUACCAGUAUGGUUGGAGGAGCCAGGAUUGGAAACAGGCAAAGCUGGCCUGCCAAGUAUAGUUUAAGAAGCCAAGGUCAAGCAUAGGUAGGUAGAACUGGCUGAAUAGGUGAGUUGGGAAGAGCCUCAGGUAGGCAGAGCUGGCCUGCCAAGAGUGGUUGGAGGAACUGGCAUCAAGCGUAGGUAGGCAGAGUUGGCCUGCCAGGUGUGAUCACAGUUAGGCAGAACUGGCCUACCAGGUGAGGUUGAAAGAGCUAUGGUCAGAGACAGGCAGAGAUGGCCUGUCUGAUAUGCUCUGAGGACCCAGACUCAAGCACAGGUGGGCAGAGCUGGCCCACCAGGUAAGGUCUGAGGAGCCAGGAUCAAGCACAGGUAGGCGGAACUGGCCUGUCAGGUGAGGUUAAUAAUCAGGAUCAAGAACACAUAGGCAGAGCUGAGACGUGACGAGUCAAGGUCAGGUACAGACAGGUAUGUAGACCUGGUUUAUCCCUGCGUGGUCUGGAGCCUGUCUCUGACAGGUGUGUAUGUAACCCUGUAGUCUGAGGUAUUGCAGUAGAACACAUACAAGCAGAGCUGUCCUCCCAGGGGAGGACAAGGUGAGUGGAGCUGGCCCACCAGGUGAGGUCUGAGGCGCCAAGGUCAAGCACAGGUAGGUGGAAUGCCCACCAGGUGAGGUCUGAGGAGCCAGGGUCAAGUACAGGUAGGUAGAGCUGGCUCACCAGGUGCAGUUGGAAGAGUCAUGGUCAGAGACAGGUAGGCAGAGCUGGGCUGUCAGGUGAGAUUUCAGGAGCCAGGGUCAAGCACAUGUAGGCAAAGCUGCCCCACCAGGUAUGGUUUAAGGACCCAAUGUCAGGCCACAGGUAGGUGUAGUCUGAGGAGUCAAGGUCAAGCACAGGUAGGCAGAGCUGGCCCAUCAGCUGCAGUAUAAGGAGCCAGAGCAUGUACGAGUCUGCCAAGCUGGCCCAUCAGGAGCCUUAGGACCUAGGGAGACACAGGCAGGUAGUGCUGGCCCACCAGCUGUGGUGUAAGGAGCCAGGGGCAGGUAAGUAGGCAGAUCUGGCCUGCCUGGCGUGGUCUGAGGAGCCAAGGUCAGAGGCAGGUAGGCAAAGCCUGUCUGCCAAGUGUACUGAUCUCGAGGAAGCCUAAGGAGUUAGGGUUGAGUAUAGGCAGAUCAUGUUGGCUUUUUCAGACGUUGGACUCAGGCAAAGGUAUGGACCCCUGGGUCUUCGUGGAGAGGCCUGAAGUGGAUUGAGCAGCCUCCCAAGUCAGGCUCACAACACUGGGUUUUUCCUUAGGUAGGAAGAACACAGUGGGGCUCAUAGGAGGUCCGUGGACCCUAAAUUAGACACAAGUAGGUAGAUGUGGCUCUCUCAGCAAGGACUUUGGAGCCAGAGUUCUGUAAACCGGGGUCUUGCAAGUAAAGUCCUCGGAGCAUGGUUCUGGCAUAGGUGUGUUGACCCAGGUCUUAAGAGUUUAUCCCUAGGGAACAUGGGUCAGUCACAGGUAGGUAGAACCACAUGUUCAGGUGGGGUCUGGAGCACAGAUGUGCAGGGAGGGUCACACUGCCUGAAGUGUGAGGCUUCUCAGUCCCAGGCUAAGCAGGGGUUGUUAGCGUUGGGUUGUGUGCAAAGUAUGAAAAGCUGCAUCAGACACGAGAUACAAGUGGGGCCUGAGAGCCAAGGUCAGGCCCAUGUAGAUAAAGCUGGGUCACUUGGGAAGGUGUGCAGAGACUGAGUUGGGCUUGGAGAGGUGAGCCUGGGUCUGUCACUUGAGACGUGAGGAGUCAAGGUCAGGCACAAACCAGUGUGUAGACCUGGUCUAUCCCUGCAUGGUCUGGAGACUCGCUGACAGGUGUGUACGUAACCCUGCAGUCUGAGGUAUUGCAGUAGAACACAUACAAGCAGAGCUGUCCUCCCAGGGGAGGCCCUUGUACCUGUGCCUGGAGCAAGCAUUAUUGGUGAGUCUAGAUCCAGGGUCACAUGGCAGUGGUACAUAAAUGUAAUCUUUAUGUUCUUGCCACUUGGCUUCAGGUAUAAAUUGGCAUUCCUGGCCUUAGGUGAAAUUAGUAGGCAAGAUCUAGCCCAGAAAUAUAUUUGGUGUGGCUGGAGAGGCCUGAGAAGGUGAGUCAGACACAGGUGGGAUCUUUGGUAGUAGGAUCAGGCACAGUUAGGUGGGUAACGGGCUGUCAUCAAGGGAAAGCCAGAGGCAGCCUAGGCAUGUGGAUGUGGGUCUGCCUGGGGAGAGCUCAAGAACCGUUAGGAUCAGGUAGAAUGGGUAGUAAGCCCUGAGGCAACCACCUGGUCUCAGCACCCUGGUCAGGUGUGAUGAGCGGAGCUCAGGCUAUUACAGAGGUCUGAGGAUCUGCAACCAGUCUAAGGUGGUGGACUGGGGUUGGUGGCACAGGAUCUGAGUUAUCCAGGUCAGGAAAAAGGUAAGAUUAUACCUGGUUAGAUAAAAUGAAGUCAAGGCCCUGGGCAGGUGAGAUAUAGAAUGUCUAACUGACUGAGGAGCUGCAUCUGUAAGGUGUGAUCUUAGAAGCCCAUGGCGGGUACAGGUGAGGCCUAGAGACCUGUCUGCAAGUUAGGGUCUCAGAGGCUCAAGUCAGACACAGGCAUUGCUGGACUCUCCCGGAAGUGAGACCUGACGACCUGGCCUCAGUCCAGGGCAGCAGCUUAGAAUCCAUCAGUCUGAGGGCUGACCGGCUGUUUAGUCCAGUUUCUAGAAUUGAGUCAGGUGAUACCUGAGAGCCUAGGUCAGGCAUGUGUGGCCCUGUGUGACUGUAUCUGUCAGGUAAGUUUCCCCAAAAUCUGUAGUCAAAUUCUGUUCCCCUGAGCUAUACCCCCAAGGUUCCCCCAAAUCUGGGCCCUUUCCAGGUGAAGAGACUGAGCCAGAAACCUCCAGGCUAAGCUUGAGUCUCGUUCUUCCAGUUGAUCCUGUUUGAUUGAAGCUCCCGAGUCAGUCCUUGGUUCUCCCCCACCCAGGGUAGCAAUAUUUUCUGGGUGACCACUAGGACUCCGAUGUUGUCUCCUGCUUCCCUUCUCACCUCACCUGCAUCCUUCUUGGUUCUCCAGUCAUACCUCUCAGCUUCUGCCCUCCAGUCCUCACUCCUUCCUCCAUCUUCUGCAUAGUGUUGUGCCUCCUCCUGCUUCCAGUAGAGAAUUAAGCCCUAAUGCCCCAAGACAUCAAUUAGACGUAAAGGAUCAGCAUCUCUCUAUACUCAGAAGGGUUCUGCCCUUGGGAGAACUGAGAGGUCACUGAAUUGGGUCAUUCUUUGUGGGGUGUAAUUCUCUCACAGUUGAAAAAGGCUGCUCUUGCCACAGGACCUUUGUAUAUGCUAUUCUGGCUGCUGGAAUGCCUCUCCCUCAGUGUUUCCCUGGUAAUGCCUGCUCAUUCUUCAGAUCCAGGCUCUAGCACACCUCACAUUCCUUUUAUAAUCAGUUUCAGUACUGUAUUUCCUUUCUCCCAAGCACUUUGUCUCAUUUUCACAUUUAUUGGCCUGAUGAUUUCAUCUACGUCUCUCUCCUCCAGGGACUAUUUCUGUUGCCUGUGCUAGGAAUGUGGUAGGUGCUCUGUAAAUAGUUGUUAGGAAGAUAGAAAUGGAGCUCUGAGGAUUCUGAUGAUACAAAGUGGAGUCUGCAAGUGUGACAUGAGAAGGCACAGUGUGGGUGGUAAGCCUAGGUGUGUCUUGGGCCUGAGGCUGAGAAGAUAGGUCAA